rnacentral:tRNA from 2 species
GCCGGGAUGGCGGAAUUGGCAGACGCGUACGCUUGAGGGGCGUAUGGGAUUCCCGUGGGGGUUCAAAUCCCCCUCCCGGCACCA